ensembl:lncRNA novel transcript
ACACUCGCCUGGGUCUCCGGUUGGCGGCUCGGACGGAGUUCAUUUGCCGGGCUGAGGUGGCGGCGUUGGCGGAGGGACACACACACGCACACGCACAGCGAGCUUCGGGGCAGGAGAAAGGGGUCCCACAAACUGCAAGGAAAAGAAAAACCCUCAACAGGAAUUACCUUUAUACCUGAUGCCCCCAACAUAAUCUCUCUCCAAGGGAAACGUGUUUUUAUUGCCUUGCGGCUGAAAAUGUAUUCUCGAUUCUCCCCCUUCUCUCUUUUGUUGUGCAUUUUUUGGAUGUGGUAAAACUGGCAGUUUAUCUGAUUAUCUGGUUUUCAGAACUUUGGGCGAUGUCUCUGAGUGUCAUCAGUUGCUCUCUAGGUUUGACAUAGAUAAUUAAGCAACUACAAAGCGUGAUAAAGCUUUUGAGAGGGAGGAAAAUGUAUUUUGGA